rnacentral:siRNA from 1 species
CUUUAAGUUUCAGGCACAUUGCAU